CAGGCUCCGGAAAGGGGAAGAUUCAUCUGAGGUCACAGGCUCAAGUUUAGGGAGGAAGACAAUGUGAGAAGAGGCUAAAAAAAAAAAAAAAUUCUGAAAACAAACAAAUAUCUUUGGCCCUCUGUGACAUGAAGUGCCAGGCAGCCUCUUCACUGGACUCCCUGCCGCCUCCCUCUGGGGUCCUGGUGCCAAGCUGGCUGCCAGAUGAGGAAACCAAAGCACUGAGAAAUUAAAUGAUCAUGCCGGGGUCCUGCUCGUAUCACCAUGCUGAAGUCCAAUAGACAGUCUCCAAAGGACAGAGACCAGUGGCCUCACUGGACAAAACAAAGCUCCACAGUCGGCCUUCACUUCCUGUCCAGAUCCAUUUCCUACCAUAGCCCAA